GAUGAACGCUGGCGGCGUGCUUAACACAUGCCAGUCGAACGGAAAGACGCGGCGCUUGCUUGUCGCAUGUUUGCCGAGCGCGUGAGAGAAACGCGUGUAACCCGUCCUUGUAAGUCGGGUAUCACCUCGGGAAAUCGGAGCGUAUACGAUAUAAGAUUGUGAACCGUGGGGGGCAAAAGUGAGAGACGGUGUUGCGGGCUCUUCUAGAUGGAUCCGCGCUUGAUGAGCUAGUUGGUAGGGUAACGGCUUACCAAGGCAACGAUGCGUAGCCGACUUGAGAGGGUGAUCGGCCACACUGGAACUGAGACACGGUCCAGACUCCUACGGGAGGCAGCAGUAGGGAAUCUUCCGCAAUGGGCGAAAGCCUGACGCAGCAAGGCCGCGUGAGUGAUGAAGGUCUUCGGAUCGUAAAACUCUGUUAUUAGGGACGAACAGAUGUCGACGUAACUGUGCAGAUAUUGACGGUACCUGAUCAGAAAGCACCGGCUAACUACGUG
rnacentral:rRNA from 1 species